rnacentral:lncRNA from 1 species
CAAGUAAGAUUUAUGGAGGCAUAGAAUCUGCUUAAAAUUACCUAUGUUGCCUCCUUCCGCCAUAUAAUCUGGUUCCUGGUUUUCUAGAGAUUCCUGUUAAGGCUUUUAGCAGCACUACCAGCAGAGGUGUCACCUCUAAUCAUUGAGUUGAUUUAUGGGAUUUUUUUCCUUCUGAGAUCUAGAAUUGCAACAGGUGACUUAAAGAAAGCAAAACUUUUCCAGGUGGCAACUCUUCCCAACACCAAGGUCACCCAGAUAUGGAAAAAUGUUCACCUUCAGCAUUCUAUCCUCUCUAACGCAGUGGUUGUCUGCGCAAGGAUUGCAGAGGAUGGUGAGGGAAAAAGACCUUUAAAACCCACUCUGAGGCAAAACCU